rnacentral:rRNA from 1 species
UACAGAGGUCCCAAGCGUUGUUCGGAUUCAUUGGGCGUAAGGGUGCGUAGGCGGCGCGGUAAGUCGGGUGUGAAAUCUCGGGGCUUAACUCCGAAACUGCAUUCGAUACUGCCGUGCUUGAGGACUGGAGAGGAGACUGGAAUUUACGGUGUAGCGGUGAAAUGCGUAGAUAUCGUAAGGAAGACCAGUAGGCGAAGGCGGGUCUCUGGACAGUUCCUGACGCUGAGGCACGAAGGCCAGGGGAGCAAACGGG